UGGCGGGCGGCGUCAUGUCGUUUGUAUUUACGGUUUUCCGAGAGAAAUCUCGUCCUUAUAUGCUGUCACCGGGUAAUUUCGCAUAAGGAGAGGGUUCUCGUCGCGCGGAACUGAUGGUCAUCGAUGAUCGACGACGUCCGGUCGAGCGCGAUAUGCGUCAUUACGUCAUGCCGGCGCUCUCGGCCGGCUUCGGCGAACACAUUGAGGAAUACGAGGUGCUGAAUCUGCUGGGCAAGGGCGGCUACGGGAGCGUUUACCGAGCGAAAUGUCUCCGCAGCGGCAUGGAAGUCGCGAUCAAAAUGAUCGACAAGAAAAUGAUGCAAGCUGCUGGGAUGGUGGGUAGAGUGAGGCAGGAAGUGGAGAUACAUUCACGAUUGAAACAUCCAGCUAUCUUGGAAUUGUAUACAUGUUUUGAAGAUGCAAACUAUGUGUACCUAAUUUUAGAAUUAUGUCAUAAUGGGGAACUUCAACGCUAUCUUAAAGCACAGGGCACCAAAGCUUUGCCUGAAGAUCAUGCCGCCCGAAUAAUUAGACAAGUUGUACAAGGUUUACUUUACCUUCAUUCUCAUCAGAUACUUCACAGAGAUAUGUCACUGUCUAAUCUACUUCUGACCAAAGAUAUGCAAGUGAAAAUAGCAGAUUUCGGGUUAGCUACACAAUUAACUAAACCAGAUGAAAAACAUUUGACUAUGUGUGGCACGCCAAAUUACAUCUCUCCCGAAGUUGCUACAAGAUCUUCACAUGGACCAGAGGCGGAUGUAUGGAGUUUGGGAUGUAUGUUGUAUACCUUAUUGGUGGGUAAACCGCCGUUCGACACUGAUGCAGUUAAGAGUACUUUAACACGAGUAGUAAUGGCUGAUUACGUGAUGCCAUCUUAUUUGUCGGAUAAUGCAAAAGAUUUGAUAGAUAAAUUACUGAAAAAAAAUCCAAAAGAGAGGAUACGCCUACGAGACAUUCACAAGCAUCCAUUUAUAAGAAAUAUAGAAAAAAACAGGCUAUAUAAUGAAAAAUAUGGAAUUACAGAUUUUUUAACUGAUGGCAUGAUGGAUUCCGGAUUAGGUAGGACACUGUCCUCAUACGGUCGGUCGAAACUCCGAUCUCGUUCAGAGGAAAGAACAGCAACAACGCCGAUAGUGCCUAUGGUUAGUGUGAGAAGUGAAGCGUUAUCCGAACCUAUUGCAAAGAUGCAGUUAAAUCACAGAGCAAAAUACGGGAGUUACAACGCGAAAGAGGACUCUGUGUUAAUAGGUAUUCCAACAUCUCGCAAUAAGAUGCUCUCGCAAAACGAGCAGUAUGAUAAUUACAAGUAUGAGCAUGACGAUUUAGAGAGGCAGAAAAUGACAGAAAGGCACAAUAAGCCAAGAAAGGAAAAGAGCACGGAAAAUCAUAAUACGGAAAGAACUGAGGAGAGUGCAAAAUUACAAGUACCUCCCUUGAAUUCCAACAGAUUACAACCUACUAGGCACAGAACGAACAAUGCGAUUCUUACGCUUCUAGACAAUGGGGAGGUGUGCAUUGAGUUUGUCAAACGCAAAAACGGCAAAGAAAAGAUCAGCAAUGUAUGCAGAAUAUCAGGCGACGGUUUACGAGUAGUUCUUUAUAAACCGAGUACGUCUACAGAAGUCGGUUCGCAGCCGCCACCGUUGCCCAGCCGAGGUGCGGAUAGUAUUUAUUCAUACGAGAAUUUACCAGCAUGUCAUCAUCGAAAAUACAUAUACGCGUACCGUUUCGUGAAAUUGGUUCAGGCGAAAACUUCAAAAUUAACGCUGUACACUCAGCGUGCAAAAUGUGUUUUCAUGGAGAAUGGUCCACAGCCUGACUGCGAAGUGCAUUUUUACAACGGAGUAAAGAUUGUCCGAGUAGAUGGUGUCGCGAAGAUUACCGACCAGAACGGUGAUACAUUUGUUGAAGGUGAAUUUUCGCCGCAUCUUGAAAAUUAUUGCGAACAUUAUUCGGAGUGCUAUAAACGAUGCUUACUGCUGGAAUCAACUUUGACAUCCUUGGAAGCAGCCACUGGGCAUCCCUGUUUUCCUGUGAUAAUUGGACGAAGGCCUAACACGGCUUUGAAUGAUGCUCCCCAUCAGGGGAAAGAAAAUAUAUCGCAUACUAGAAACAUUUCUCCAGUUUUGCCGUCAUUCGAUGGUAGCUGCUCCGUCGUUUCGACGGUGACUUCUAGAUCGCGCAAGAUGAAUUCUGCGCAUAAUAUUAAUAAUAAUGCGAAUAUGGUAGCGGUCCCGGGAAUCGGUUUCGCUUCAAAAUUAUCGUCCGGCGACAUCCGGGUUGAGUAUAGAGAUGGAUCCGCUUUAACUGUAAGUCCACAAAAUCAUGGUGGCAUUACAUAUGAAAGUAAUGAUGGCAAUGUUGUGCGAUAUAAUAAGCAUUACCAGCAAGAUUUGGAAGUGCCGAUUCAAGAGAAGCUUCGUCAAUUGCCAAUGGUUCUUCAAUAUCUCAUGGAACCAAGGCACAAGUGUAUUCGGUAGCUCAAAUUGAAAAUAUUGCAUAUUUUGUAUAAUAUGAAUGAAAAAUCACUCUCGCAUCGACUAUAGUGGAGAAAGGAAGUAUGUAAAUAGUACUAUUAAGAGAAAUUUAAGAGUAAUUCUUAUGGGACUUAAAUAAUUGAAAAUUUUUCCACAUUAUCUGUAAUAUACAAAGGAAAAUUCUACAAAACAAAAUUCAAUAUCUGCUGCUACUUAAAGUAACAAACUAUACACAGGUAUAUUUAUUUUUUAUUGUUUCUAUUUAAAAAAUAUUUUUUAAUUAUUCUCUCUGCUUUAUAUAUCGCUGAGUGGCAAUGAGAAGCGAGUUUGCAAUAAAUCAAACAAUAAAGUACAAAAAAAAAAG